UACGGGGGGGCAAGCGUUGUUCGGAAUUACGUGGGCGUAAAAGGGCUCGUAGGCGGCCAACUAAGUCAGACGUGAAAUCCCCAGGCUCAACCUGGGAACUGCGUCUGAUACUGGAUGGCUUGAGUGUGGGAGAGGGAUGCGGAAUUCCAGGUGUAGCGGUGAAAUGCGUAGAUAUCUGGAGGAACACCGGUGGCGAAGGCGGCAUCCUGGACCAUUACUGACACUGAAAAGCGAAAGCCAGGGGAGCAA
rnacentral:rRNA from 1 species